UUGGGUCCAAGAGUCAGAGGAUACUUAUGCAGAACUGCCCAUAGCUGCGUGUGACCUUGCCUAAAUACCUGGCCACACCACACGAUCAAACGACCUGGGCUGGAAAAAUAGGCAAAGGUGAAAGCUCGAAACAAUUUGGAAGAAUGGUGUUUGUAGAAAAGAAGAAAUAAAUCCUGCAAUAACGCUGGUAGACAAACAUGCCAGCAGACAGAGCAGCUCUAUUUGAACUCUGAGCCACCAUGUCGUGUUCAGGUGCCCUAUUUGAAGGAAACCGUCCCCGCUGAUAACAGAGGAACAGCCUGUACCAUGCCCUACUGCUCAGCCCUUCCCUGCUCUGACCAAGAGCCUACCCUCAUUUCUCUGGACUAAAGUGCGGAUGUGAGAUGAAGGGCUAUCUGGUUUCCAAGAACUUUGGGGAGAUAGAAUCUGUUUACAGAUCAACACAAUGCUGGACUCUUGUGCAUCAGGGAGCUUCGCAGAUUGGGCCUAGUCCAGCAUAUCUGGUUUCCAAUGUGUCUCAAGGCUAGAAGCUCACAGUCCUGCCAGGUAACAGCAUCAAUGGCCCUUUAAAUGCAACUGUUUCCCCUACACAUCUCACUACAAAGGCCGUAGAAAGGCAAGUGCCUGCUGUCGCUUAGAUUUAGCAUUUGCCAAGGAUCACCUUCUCAUGUGCUGUUGAGACCACUUCCCAGUGAGAAGUUCAGAUGCCGGAGCUUCAUCUUAGCAAACUGCUGACUGCAGGAAGAGGGGUUGCUCUUAAGGAUUUCUGCAUCUAUCUCUCAAAUACCUGGAAUACUGUCCAAGUAAAUGGCCUACUAGAAGUCUUUUGAGCAAGAGUUGGAGGAAUUGCCUCCCUCUCUAAGGAAUGGAUUGUUUCAAAAUGUUGGGCUGAGACUUCAAAACUGGCAAACAUGCUCUUAGAGCAAGAGGAUUGAGUCAUUGGGUAUCAUAAAGGCAAUAACCCUUGCCCCCAGAUUCCACUCUGGAUGGUAGCUGACUGAUAUCAGUACACCUAUAAAGAAAACAUGGGAGAACUCAUUUGGUUGUGGAUUGUUGGGGGUUGUGAAUGCAGAUUCUGAAGUCAGACCACCUGAGUUCAAAUCUAGCUCUACUACUUCCUGGCCAUGGAACUCAGGAAAUUAUCUUACCUCUCUAUCUCAGUUUCCUCGUUCAUAAAAUGGAGAUGAUAAUAUUAACAGCAGCAACCUCAAAGAACUAUUUCUAGAAUCUCGUCUACAACUAGCCUUUGGAGUUCCUGAGAUUCCUUCUUAAAAUGGCACGUGCCAAGACAGUGAAGAAGAGGCCCCUUGAUAGCCCUGAGGAGGUACACCUGGGAGAAGGAUGCUGGUGAAGAACAGGAGUUUUGGCAGGAGCUACCAUGCAAGUGGGAGCAAGUUAUGGAAAGGGCCACACCUGCUGAGAAAAGAAGCAACUCCUUCAGCCAGAAACAAAGCAAGCUUAUCAUAAAAGACAACACCUGAAAAAAUCUAGUUGCGAUAACUGUGAUGCACACUGCAGACACCUACCAGCCUAACUUCUCAUAUCUCCAUGUGAGGGCCGCUUUUAGAGCAACUUUUUAAAAACAUGCUCUGACACUUCUGAGUCAUCAGAAAAGACAGUAUUGGAGUUAACCUGAAAGAGAAGGAUCCGUGCAACAUUUAGGACAGGAUGGAAAUAUUCUUGUCCUCAUACUUUUAAGUGAGAACCCGAGACUUUCUCUCCUCAGCAAUUCUGAAGGGCUGUUGGCACUCAGGAAGUGGAAGAUGACCUAGUUUUGAGGAUGACAUAUAUAAUGUGACAUGUUGCUCUUGGGAAGAGAAAUAUAUAAUUUAAAAAACCCAACCAUUCAACAUUAUUAGGAAUUUCCACUUUAAUGCCUUGAGACCUAACAGACACACUUAUCUGAAGUUCUCUGUUAGAAGGCUUCACUUGACCUAAAUCCAUCAUUUAUUCAACAUUUAUGGAACAUCUACCAAAGAGUAGCCACUGUUCUAGGCACCAGGGAUCCUGCAGUGGACCCUAUUUUCACAUAGUUCAUAUUCUACUGGGGAGAGAUAGGCAACAAAGAAAAAAGUAGACGAUAUGUCAAAGGAAAAAUGAAACAAGCUAAAAGCGUGGGGAAUAAGGAUUCUGUUUUAUGAGGGUCAUAAUCAUGGGGAUAGUGAACUUAGUUGGUGAUAUAUGAGCUGAUGCCUGAAUGGAGAGUUAGUAAUGUGACAAUGUGGAGGAAGAAUGGAUCCUAGAUAGAAGGUAUAGCAAGUACAAAGUUCCUACAGUAGAAACAUGUUUGGCAUGUUUUUUUUAUUUUAAGAUUUCAUUUAUUUUUGAGAGUGAGAAUAAGCAUGAGCCGAGGGGAG